rnacentral:rRNA from 1 species
UACAGAGGUCUCAAGCGUUGUUCGGAUUCAUUGGGCGUAAAGGGUGCGUAGGCGGCGCGGUAAGUCGGGUGUGAAAUCUCGGGGCUUAACUCCGAAACUGCAUUCGAUACUGCCGUGCUUGAGGACUGGAGAGGAGACUGGAAUUUACGGUGUAGCGGUGAAAUGCGUAGAUAUCAGGAGGAACACCCGUGGCGAAGGCGGCUCUCUGGGACGGUACUGACGCUGAGACGCGAAAGCGUGGGGAGCGAACAGG